AGUAAAAGUCGUAACAAGGUUUCCGUAGGUGAACCUGCGGAAGGAUCAUUACAGAGUUCAUGCCCGAAAGGGUAGACCUCCCACCCUUGUGUAUUAUUACUUUGUUGCUUUGGCGAGCUGCCUUCGGGCCUUGUAUGCUCGCCAGAGAAAACCAAAACUCUUUUUAUUAAUGUCGUCUGAGUACUAUAUAAUAGUUAAAACUUUCAACAACGGAUCUCUUGGUUCUGGCAUCGAUGAAGAACGCAGCGAAAUGCGAUAAGUAAUGUGAAUUGCAGAAUUCAGUGAAUCAUCGAAUCUUUGAACGCACAUUGCGCCCCUUGGUAUUCCGGGGGGCAUGCCUGUUCGAGCGUCAUUUCAACCCUCAAGCUUAGCUUGGUAUUGAGUCUAUGUCAGUAAUGGCAGGCUCUAAAAUCAGUGGCGGCGCCGCUGGGUCCUGAACGUAGUAAUAUCUCUCGUUACAGGUUCUCGGUGUGCUUCUGCCAAAACCCAAAUUUUUCUAUGGUUGACCUCGGAUCAGGUAGGGAUACCCGCUGAACUUAAGCAUAUCAAUAAGCGGAGGAAAAGAAACCAACAGGGAUUGCCUCAGUAACG
rnacentral:rRNA from 1 species